UACGUAGGGUGCGAGCGUUAAUCGGAAUUACUGGGCGUAAAGCGUGCGCAGGCGGUUUUGUAAGCCAGGGGUGAAAUCCCCGGGCUCAACCUGGGAAUGGCAUUUGGGACUGCAAGGCUGGAGUGCGGCAGAGGAGACUGGAAUUCCUGGUGUAGCAGUGAAAUGCGUAGAUAUCAGGAGGAAUACCGGUGGCGAAGGCGGGUCUCUGGGCAGUAACUGACGCUGAGGAGCGAAAGCGUGGGGAGCGAACAGG
rnacentral:rRNA from 1 species